GCCUCAUUGGCUCAGUCAGUAGAGUGUGUGACUCUUGGUCUCAAGGUCGUGGGUUCAAGCUCUACUUUGGGUG
rnacentral:tRNA from 1 species